rnacentral:tRNA from 1 species
UGGGGAAUAGUGUAAUGGUAGCACGACUGACUCUGGAUCAGUUAGUGAAGGUCCGAAUCCUUCUUCCCCAG